AUUCGAGUCAAGACCAGAAAGAGGUGAGGGAGCGAGUCAUAAAAACCAGGUGGAUAGCAGUGCGGGAAGCUGGCGUCUGGAAUCACCAUAGUGACUUUGAUUUCUAGCUGUGAGGAAGAACAUGCCCACGUGGCCAUUUCUCCAGCACCAUGAUAUCUAUGGGCACAGAAGAUAUCUGCAGAGAUCAUGGGGGCAGGAUCCGGGAGCAUCCACACUGACAGCUGGACACUUCCUGCCAGUGCAUUCUAGGGAGAGCUGGCCUCCAGCAUCCUCUGUAGUGACCAACAGAAAUUGAAGAUCAAAACAAUACCUUUUGAAAGAAUUGGCAAAGGAAUACAAGAGGACCCGACACCUGGAUGAUGCAGCUCCUGGUGGACAGAGGUCUUCAGAUGGAAUCCCUACCAUGACCUAAAAAACUCUACAAAAUCUGGCUUUGGCUCUCCACGCAUUCCCCUCUGUCCUCAGUGUCUUUGUUCUGGUUCUUGAAAUGUCAGCUGUGGUUUAUGGUCUGUGUCUCCCCUUGAGACUGUCUUCUCCCAGAUAUUUUUUCAUGCUUGAUGCUUUGUACACCACGUACCCUUUUCAGAUUUCUUUUUAUAAAAUAGCAUCCCCCAACCAAUAGUGUUUCUUGACCUUACUUAAUUUUUCAUCUUAACCUCUGACAUCGUAUUACAUAAUUAUUUGAUCAUUUAUUUCUUGCUCUUGUCUCCCACUGAAAUCGAAGACCCACCAGGGCAAGGACAUUACCUACUUCGUUGCUUUAUCCUUCAUGCCUAGAACAGAAUGGCAUAUAGUCCUAGAAUUCUAAAUUGAUGCUCAUUCAUGUGUUCCUCCUGCAUGUUUUCUUUGUGAUUUAAAUUAUGUCUUUCUGCAGGGACAAGAGCUUUGCCUUCUAUUUUUGUUUUAUUUCCUGAAUUUCCUUUGGAUAAUUAAUAAAUAGCUUUGAUCCGCCUUUAUUAUUUCUGUUCAACCAAUUUGUUUGUCAUGGCUUAAAGAACUAGUUAGAAAUUUGGCUACGGAGAGGUAAGCUAGGUUUUGAAGGCCUCUAAACAUGACUCAGCCGAUUCAUUAUGUAAACUUUGCAACCAUAGACCGUUGAACAUGGGCAAGACUAAGAGAAUUGUGUAAGGGGAUUUAGAGCAGAUGAUGGGAGUGUGGACUCCCUGAUUUGUUUAUUAUUUAUGCUGUACUAGGAAAAACAAUGGUUACUGGUUAUCAUAGUCUAAUUACUGGUUAUUAGACUAUAGACUAUAAGUCCAUGAGGGUAGAGACCUUGCUCUCUUGCUCACCUGUAUUCAGGACCUAGAAUAGUGUCUAGUAUAUAGUUGGGGUUCAAUGGAUGUUUUGAAUGAAUCACCAAAUGAAAGAAGGAGUAUUGCCAUUGGGGGAGGGGGCAGGAGGAUACUCUGAAAAGUAAUACCGGUAGUAUUUCGUAUGCAUAUGCCUUUUUUUCACACUU